rnacentral:rRNA from 1 species
AACGAACGCUGGCGGCAUGCCUAACACAUGCAAGUCGAACGAGACCUUCGGGUCUAGUGGCGCACGGGUGCGUAACGCGUGGGAAUCUGCCCUUGGGUUCGGAAUAACAGUUAGAAAUGACUGCUAAUACCGGAUAAUGUCUUCGGACCAAAGAUUUAUCGCCCAGGGAUGAGCCCGCGUAGGAUUAGCUAGUUGGUGAGGUAAAGGCUCACCAAGGCGACGAUCCUUAGCUGGUCUGAGAGGAUGAUCAGCCACACUGGGACUGAGACACGGCCCAGACUCCUACGGGAGGCAGCAGUGGGGAAUAUUGGACAAUGGGCGCAAGCCUGAUCCAGCAAUGCCGCGUGGGUGAUGAAGGCCUCGGUUGUAAGCCUUUGGUCGGGGACGAUGAUGACGGUACCGCCGAACUAAGCUCCGGCUAACUUCGUGCCAGCAGCCGCGGUAA